rnacentral:rRNA from 1 species
AUUGAACGCUGGCGGCAUGCCUAACACAUGCAAGUCGAACGGCAGCACGGUCCAGUUUACUGGAUGGGUGGCGAGUGGCGGACGGGUGAGUAACGCGUAGGAAUAUGCCUUAAAGAGGGGGAUAACUUGGGGAAACUCAAGCUAAUACCGCAUAAUCUCUUAGGAGAAAAGCUGGGGACCUUUGGUCCUGGCGCUUUAAGAUUAGCCUGCGUACGAUUAGCUAGUUGGUGGGGUAAGGGCCUACCAAGGCGACGAUCGUUAGCUGGUCUGAGAGGAUGGCCAGCCACACUGGAACUGAGACACGGUCCAGACUCCUACGGGAGGCAGCAGUGGGGAAUAUUGGACAAUGGGGGGAACCCUGAUCCAGCAAUGCCGCGUGUGUGAAGAAGGCCUGAGGGUUGUAAAGCACUUUCAGUGGGGAGGAGGAUUGACAGGUUAAGAGCUAGUUAAUUGGACGUUACCCACAGAAGAAGCACCGGCUAACUCCGUGCCAGCCGCCGCAGUAA